GUAAAAUGCAUCUGGUAAUAUAAAAAGAAUAAAGUAGGUUAAGAGGUCAAACUGACUGUUCAUUCUUGAAUGAUGAAAUUUCUGUGCUCCCCACCACUGUAUGGACUGUAUGCUAGAACCUGUUCUGCAGUGAGGAGGGGGAGAUGAGGAGUGAAGGGACUAAAACCAUUCAAAACACAUGGUUGAGAACAACAAUCAUGAUGAUGGCUAAUAUUUAUUAAGUGCUCAACAUAUAAUCAGUAUCCAUUUAAAACCUUACACCGAUUAAUUGAGAUACUAUUAUUCCCAUGUAUUGAUACUUGAGACAUGAGGGAGGUUAAGUUGUCAACAUUUGCAAUGAUAAUAUAUGGCAGAUCCAACUGAACCAAGGCAGUUUAGUUCUAAGGCCUACUAGUAAACCAAUCACCAUUCCAUGAUUUGACCCACAGGAUACCAAGGUGCUCUUAACAAAAGAUGGAAUAAAUGAGUGAUGGUUAGAUGUCCAACAGAUUUCCAUGUCAAUUACCUCCCUGCCGCCAAUCUCCUCUCCUAUAAAUCCAUCCUCCAAAAAUACAUGGGUGAUUUAUUCAACAUGAAAGUCCAACUUUGUCAUUAUUCUGACUAAACAAUUCAAUGGCUCCCACUACUGGAGAGAGAAACCAUCAUUAUACAUUGCUUUGCAAUGAAAUUUAUGAGGUGGUAUGUCAGUUUAAGAAAUCUUCUACACCACAACUAAACACCUGGUAUAGAAGGAAAAGUUUAUUUUGUGAGUUGUUGUAUUAGCCAUUAUGAAGAGAAUCCUUAUUGGAUGUCAUUGACAGACGGUUGCAUGAAUAUUUAGUUUUUAUGCCCAGAAAUCUGCCUUUGGGAGGCAUUACAACAAAGUCAGGGAAGCUCCCAGGGGGAGGAGCAAAAGGAAGAAUGGUUAAACACAAGGGCUUUGGAGCCAGAGUUUGCAGGACUGAGCUCCAGCUGCCUUGCCUACAGCAACCUCAAGUGCAAUUGGAGGAAAACAUCUUCGUCGUGGGAUUGCUGUGAGGACUGAAUGAGUACUCUCAGUUACCAACAACAACAAACCAAAAACAACACAAUCAACCUUGGCCAACAGAGAGACCAAGCAAUUUUGUGGGAAGCAAAGGUCCCUGUGCACAAACAAGAGUUUAAGAAAAAAACAGCUCUUCACACUUGUCAGAAGAGAGAUUUGAUACCUGUGAUUGAAAAGAGAGAAGUCCCAAUGCAAGGAUGCCUCAGGUAAGUAGAGCUUUUAUUGCUGCUCUUCUCAUUGUAUGUAUACAUGUAACACUAAAAUGUACAGACCCUGCUUGUGUGUCACAGCACCAUCUUACUCUGCCUUUGGAUUAAUCUGUCAUUUAGAGCUCUGCUACUGAGGGUGGUCCCUACCCCCACCCAGCAGA